CUCCAGGCGCGCCCAGCAACGCUCUGACGGGCUGGGAGUGAAGGGGGGUAUGUUGACAAGCGACGCUGAAAUCGGCAGACGGCUCUGAGCUGUGGUGUAGUGAGGAGCUCCGUUAACGCGAACCUCUACGCUCGACCCACGUCACGGAACGCGAUGCCGAAGUUUUUGGAGCAGCGUUAUUCCAUCAAAUUUGCGUGGCACAAGAUGUUCGUGGAGGGCAGAGAAGAGGUCGACGACGAACCACGGCCUGGACGCCCAUCAACGACACUCACCGACGAAAAUGUGCAAAAAAUUCGCGAUAAACUGAACUCUGAUCGUCGUCUUAGUGUUCGGAUGAUAGCAGAGGAGUGUAAUAUGCCAAAAACAAUAGUGCACGAGAUUAUUAGGGACCAAUUAGGCAUGCGUCUCACACCGCGCUUGUCGUGUCGGAGUUCUUGACCAAGCACGGCGUGGUAACGCUGCCGCACCCGCCCUACAGCCCGGACUUGGCACCACCGGACUUCUUUCUGUUCCCCAAGAUAAAGAGGAGUUUGAAAGGAACGCGUUACGGGACUUUGGACGCCGUCAAAGAGGCCGUGACGACGUGUCUUCGAGAGGUCCCCGAUGAUGCCUUCGCGAGAGCGUUCCAGGAAUGGGAACGCCGCUGGGACAAGUGUAUCGAUUCACAAGGGUCCUAUUUUGAGGAAUAUUAGCUUAAAGUAUGGAAAAGUACAAUAAAUUUUUUUUCCCGA